AUGAAAAGAUGUAAUUAUAUCUAUAUGUGUAUAUAUGCUAUUGUACUAAUUUUCUAUUUGACUUUAAGACUCUCCUGCACACGCAAGCUGUCAUCUUCAAAUGAGACAGAUACACCAUCACUUCAUUCAGUUGCAUCAUCGUCGGACACACAGCCAUCAGACAGCGAUGGUCCUUUCUUCCCACCUAAAAGAGCUCGUUCUAAUGACCAUUUGCAAGAAGCUAAGGAGCUUGUGAAAAGUGUUUUAGAAAAGCCUGCUGGGGAGAAGAUAUUUCAGAACACUGCCACACCAGUCAAGGAGGUACAGGCAGUUCAUUAUGUAUGCUAAUCAAGAGCAAGGAUAAUCACUUUGUGUAGAUAAAAUAGCUUAUGUAUAUUGGUAUAUGAUUAUAUAGAUUUGUUAUGGUUUGCGUUUUCUUUUUUGAAUUUAGACUGGGACAGUGUUAUGUAUUCCCAGUUAUUGCUGGUCUAUCUCCUGCCACCACCUUCUAGCGGAAAUAAGUUUGUCAAGAUCAGUGUGCGUGAAGCUUUGGAUCGCGUAGUAAGAUUUCACAAGGUAUGCUUACUCUUAAUGUUAUGUAGAACUGCAUGUCAUGCCUAGAAUGCUUAUUAAUGUGUAGGUGUACAUUAUUUUUCGAGAAUGUUUUUUUUUCUGUUUUCAGUCCUCUUGCAGUUUUGAAGAAGUCCUUGGAUCAACACAGACAACACAGCCCUACAUCUUGACAGUUGGCACUUUGAAGAGUAGCAUCCAUUACUACUACACUGCUGCGGAUGAGCGGCUCACCCCCUGCAUGACUAAGUCCUCUCUCUCAGCCUUUGAACUUCUCAAUGUAUUGAUAUUUUAAUAUUUCUGAAAACUAUGCAGUGAAUAUCAUGCAUGACUUGAUAGAGGGAGUAGCACAGUUAGAGAUGAAGUUGCUUUUUAUCAAAGUUGUGUCCUUACAGACUGUGAGCAACAGAAUUUACUCAUUUAACUAUGGUUAUUUUGAACGUAAAAACUGACCUACCGUGGUUAAGUUUGAAGAAGCUGGGAAUGGGAUGGGUCUCAAUGCCACCCAGACAUUUUGCCUCAUUAGAAAUCUGCUUCUACUGCAGAUAAUAAAUAGUGUUUUCUCCAGUCA
ensembl:lncRNA